rnacentral:rRNA from 1 species
UACGUAGGGCGCAAGCGUUGUCCGGAAUUAUUGGGCGUAAAGAGCUCGUAGGCGGUUUGUCGCGUCUGCUGUGAAAACCUAAGGCUCAACCUUGGGCUUGCAGUGGGUACGGGCAGACUUGAGUGCGGUAGGGGUGACUGGAAUUCCUGGUGUAGCGGUGAAAUGCGCAGAUAUCAGGAGGAACACCGAUGGCGAAGGCAGGUCUCUGGGCCACUACUGACGCUGAGAAGCGAAAGCAUGGGGAGCGAACAGG